rnacentral:lncRNA from 1 species
AACGGCAAAGCUGGAACUCUUAGGCAGGGGGCUGGAGACAUACAAUUUGGAAGUAGGAAAUGAAGGAAAGAAAGGAGCCGCUGCUCAGCAUAUUAAUGGAACACGUGACUUGCUGAGAGAUGUAGAGCUCUCAGCUCCUUCUCUAGCAUCGUGUUUGCCUACACGCUGUCAUGCUUCCCACCAUGAAGAUAAAGGACUGAACCUCUCAAACAGAAGAAGGACAGAUGUCAGGAGGAAAGAAACAUCUCCUACAUGAAGUGGGAAGAAAGUGA